CCCGCGAGGCGGAAGCCACCUCGUCGUCGGGGUUCCAGCCCCUUCGCGAGCCGCUGUGCAGCCGGACCCGGUCCGCCGCCUGCCUCAGUUUCCUCGGGAGUGUGUGAGUGUGUGCGGGAGCGGGACCGGUGGUAUGCAGUCGGCGCUUAACUCCCGCGCGCCGCCUCCUUGACCCCUCCCCGGGGGGCGGAACCUUGGGACCUUGGUCCACCUAAGUGGCAGACUGCAUCCUCCUGGAGACAGGUGUCUGCCGCUGGGGAGGCUCAGGUGCUGCCAGCCUCAGCAGCAGUACCUUCCUGUAGCAGUUGCUGGAUCCAGUUUGCAGUUUUUCCAAGGACCAGUUUCAUCAAGCUUUCUUCAGAGACCACUAGCGCCAGCCAGCACCGCUCUUUAGAGGCCUGGGUCACAGGCACAAUGGUCCUCUACUUGGAAAUCUGAGACAUCAGCACCAGCUGAGCAGUGCCUUCCCAGAAGUCUGAGUUUGAGUUCCUGAGUUCUUCCUCUAAGCAUUUGUUAGCCCUGCGCUAGGGGUAGUAGUUGCUUCCUGCAGUUGUCAAGACUAUGAUUGCUAAGAGUUCUUUUUUUUUUUUUUUUUUUUGUCCCUUUAGCCGUGUACUGAAAAACUUGAAAUUCAGUUAACAAAAUCUUGUAUUAAAUUCUCUUUGUUCAAAUAA